ACGAGAAAGUGGAGCAUCCAUGAGUACAGUGGCGUACGGGUGAGUAACACGUGGGUAUCUACCUCCUUGUGGGGAAUAACCCUGGGAAACCGGGGCUAAUACCGCAUAAGCUCGAGAGAGGAAAGCAGCAAUGCGCUGGGAGAGGAGCCCGCGGCCGAUUAGCUAGUUGGCAGGGUAAAAGCCUACCAAGGCAAAGAUCGGUAGCCGGCCUGAGAGGGCACACGGCCACACUGGCACUGAAACACGGGCCAGACUCCUACGGGAGGCAGCAGUGGGGAAUCUUGCACAAUGGGGGAAACCCUGAUGCAGCGACGCCGCGUGAGCGAUGAAGCCCUUCGGGGUGUAAAGCUCUUUCGGCAGGGAAGAUUAUGACGGUACCUGCAGAAGCAGCUGCGGCUAACUACGUGCCAGCAGCCGCGGUAAUACGUAGGCAGCAAGCGUUGUUCGGAGUUACUGGGCGUAAAGGGUGUGUAGGCGGUUGCUUAAGUUUGGUGUGAAAUCUCCCGGCUCAACUGGGAGGGUGCGCCGAAUACUGAGUGACUCGAGUGCGGGAGAGGAAAGUGGAAUUCCUGGUGUAGCGGUGAAAUGCGUAGAUAUCAGGAGGAACACCGGUGGUGUAAACGGCUUUCUGGACCGUAACU
rnacentral:rRNA from 1 species